rnacentral:rRNA from 1 species
UACAGAGGGUGCAAGCGUUGUUCGGAAUUAUUGGGCGUAAAGCGUGCGCAGGCGGUUUUGUAAGCCAGGUGUGAAAUCCCCGGGCUCAACCUGGGAAUGGCAUUUGGGACUGCAAGGCUGGAGUGCGGCAGAGGAGACUGGAAUUCCUGGUGUAGCAGUGAAAUGCGUAGAUAUCAGGAGGAAUACCGAUGGCGAAGGCAGGUCUCUGGGCUGACACUGACGCUCAUGCACGAAAGCGUGGGGAGCAAACAGG